CCUACGGGAGGCAGCAGUGGGGAAUAUUGCGCAAUGGGCGCAAGCCUGACCCAGCAACGCCGCGUGAAGGAAGAAGGCCCUCGGGUUGUAAACUUCUAUUGUCAGGGACGAAACAAAUGACGGUACCUGACGAAUAAGCCACGGAUAACUACGUGCCAGCAGCGGCGGUAAUAAGGAGGUGGCAAGCGUUAUGCGGAUUUACUGGGUGAAAAGGGCGUGGAGGCGGGAGAGCAAGUGAGAGGUGAAAUUCCAGGGCUCAACCCUUGAACUGGAUUUGAAACUGUUUGUCUUGAGUGAUGGAGAGGCAGGCGGAAUUCCGUGUGUAGCGGUGACAGGCGUAGAUAUACGGAGGAACACCAGUGGCGAAGGCGGCCUGCUGGACAUUAACUGACGCUGAGGCGCGAAAGCGUGGGGAGCAAACAGGAUUAGAUACCCGGGUAGUC
rnacentral:rRNA from 1 species